CUCUAUUUCAGGUACUCUUGUCAGAGCAUUGCAUUUCAUUGUCCCACAACCCCAGGAAUUAAGUACGGAUAUUAUCCUAUAAUAAAGGCAGAAAACUGGUGUUGGCACAGCUCGUCUAAGUCACAGAACGGCUAUCGGCAGAGUCAGGACGCCAGCAUCGGUACCUCCUAUCCUGACAUUUGUGCUUCCGUUUGCCAGGUCACCUACGCCCCUGGUCAGUGUGGCUCCCCCAGACCAGACUGAGCCCAUGUCACCCGCUGAGGAUGCCUUCCCUCGGGCACAGGUAGUCAGCACAGUCUCCCUGUGGCUUCUACGGGAGGGGUCUCAUGUUUUGUGUAUCAUGGCUUUGCAGCCCUGGACAUAUCAGAAUCUCUCACGUAAAGGCAUGCUCUUGUUUUGGCCAAGAGAUGUUUUGGCAAACUGAGGCCUGACAUAUGGUGAAAGAGGCAACAUUUUACCAGGAGGAACCAUAAUCCCACUUGGAGUGAUGGUUGGGGAGGUUUUAAUGGAAGAAGGAAGUGUUUGGGGAUUACAAUUCUUUCCAUUUCCCUCUUGAUUCUCUCCUGUACUCUCUAUCUCUUGCUGUGGGGACAGACGGAACUGCUCCCUGUUCUGUUUUACUCUGGACAAAACCCCAGGAAGGCACUUCUGCCCGGUGCUUUACAUGCUCUGCAAUACUUAAAAGAAAGAAGCCCCGAUGGAAAACACAGAUACGGACAGCACGUUUUUUUCAUGGCGGAUGCACCUUCUGGUGCCUCCUAUCCGGGCAUCCUGUCUAGACCAGUCCUUACGGCAGUGCUGUGAAGGAUGGUCCCAUCAUGCCCAUGUCAUAGAUGAGGCAACAGAGGUCAGGAUUGCUAAACAGCUCUCCAUCAGCACGGUGACUCUUCUCGACUUCUGCCAACACGGACAGCAUGAGCAGCAGAAAGACACAGACCAACAUUGCUUCUCUUUGGGUUCUUGUCACCUCCUGCCUCUUGGCCCCUGCUCACAGCAGGUAAGGAGAACCAAUUACACCACCAUAACACUGGCUAUUCUGGUGUGCUGUAAAGGGAAACCCUGCUGGGCACGGG